UUCACAGCAUGACAAAAACCUCCUCACUGCUCACAUUCACUUCUGCUUCUAGACAACAGACAAUAAGAGCACUACUUUAUUCAUGUUGAACAAAAAACAACUCAGACAUGGUGAAAAGAUUGUGCAGCUUCACAGAUUUGUUCAAGGUUUCUUUAACAUUACUGCUUAUUAAGUGUAUUUCCUUCAAACAUACGAAUAGUACUGAUGUGUCUUUUCUAGGGAUGAAACACUUCAAGAGAGAAAAAGAGGUAAAUAAGGACAUGGAUUUAUGCAUCUAAACAGCAUUUAUAAGUGAUUGGAGGACCAUUUUCACUCAUCGAUCACAACAAUAAACCCACAAAGAGUGAAGAUUUCCUCAGCCAGUGGCUGCUGAUCAAUUUCGGUUUUACACAUACAUAUAUAACGAAUAAAAACACUUCCAGACAUAACACCAAUCCUAAUCACCAUCGAUCCUGAUAGAGACACACCAGAAGCACUGGCAGCUUAUGUCAAAUAGUUUUCCCCAAAGCUGAUCGGUCUGACAGGCACAACUCCCCAGAUUGAGCAAGUCUCCAGAGCCUACAGAGUGUACUACAGACA